UCCAUGGAGAAACGCACAGCUCGACGCAGGAUCCGACGAAGAACCAGCCUAAAGGGGUUCAGAGCCCAGACAUGAAUCCCCAGCGGCUCAUGCCCUUCCAGACUCACGGGGGACCUGACAUCCCAGGGAAGAUGCCAUCAGAGAUGCAGACACUGAGUGUGCGGAUGUGGUCAGCCACCACGCGGUACGCUGUGUCUGUGCGCCCCUCGUCUGCCACCCCUACUCGGCCCAAGUAAGGGGGUGCCCUGCAGCCCUGGGAAGCAGAAGAGUCAGCCAGUGGCCCUGCCUGACCUGGCCCAGUAACAGCUGUGACCCUGAAGCCAACAGGCCCUUGUGGAUGCAAUCAGGGUGCUCAUGGGGCUUCUCAUGAUGCCCUUGGCUUGGGAAAUUAAACAGAUUGGGAAGACAGAAGAGAAUCUGCCAAAGCUAAAACUCAAUAGAGGUUCCAGAGCUGAGGUCAGUGUAAUAACCGAGAAGGCCUUAGCCAUCAGGGUGGUCUCUUUUAGCCACGAUUCUGUGUGUGUUAAGUUAUUUGGGGUCUUUGUAUACAUAGUUUCUCUGCGGAAUCUACAUUGGACUUGAAUUUCUAUAGUGAUAGUAAAUUCUUAACUUUGUGUUCUGACAGCACCUAUAACUCCUAUUCCAUGAUCCCCUUUUUCUCCCUUUGCCCACAUAGAUUAAAGGUGUUGUUUUGAAA